AACUUUCAACAAUGGAUCUCUUGGUUCCGGCAUCGAUGAAGAACGCAGCGAAAUGCGAUAACUAAUGUGAAUUGCAGAAUUCAGUGAAUCAUCGAGUCUUUGAACGCACAUUGCGCCCCCUGGUAUUCCGGGGGGGCAUGCCUGUCCGAGCGUCA
rnacentral:rRNA from 1 species